rnacentral:rRNA from 1 species
UGGCAAAGUCGAACGCUUUGUCUUUAACUGAUCUGACGAGCUUGCUCUGAUUUCGAUUUUAUCUGACAAAGAGUGGCGAACGGGUGAGUAACACGUGGGUAACCUACCUCUUAGCAGGGGAUAACAUUUGGAAACAAGUGCUAAUACCGUAUAAUACCAACAACCGCAUGGUUGUUGGUUGAAAGAUGGUUCUGCUAUCACUAAGAGAUGGACCCGCGGUGCAUUAGCUAGUUGGUAAGGUAACGGCUUACCAAGGCAAUGAUGCAUAGCCGAGUUGAGAGACUGAUCGGCCACAAUGGGACUGAGACACGGCCCAUACUCCUACGGGAGGCAGCAGUAGGGAAUCUUCCACAAUGGGCGCAAGCCUGAUGGAGCAACGCCGCGUGUGUGAUGAAGGGUUUCGGCUCGUAAAACACUGUUAUAAGAGAAGAACGGCACUGAGAGUAACUGUUCAGUGUGUGACGGUAUCUUACCAGAAAGGAACGGCUAAAUACGUGCCAGCAGCCGCGGUAAUACGUAUGUUCCAAGCGUUAUCCGGAUUUAUUGGGCGUAAAGCGAGCGCAGACGGUUAUUUAAGUCUGAAGUGAAAGCCCUCAGCUCAACUGAGGAAUGGCUUUGGAAACUGGAUGACUUGAGUGCAGUAGAGGAAARUGGAACUCCAUGUGUAGCGGUGAAAUGCGUAAAUAUAUGGAAGAACACCAGUGGCGAAGGCGGCUUUCUGGACUGUAACUGACGUUGAGGCUCGAAAGUGUGGGUAGCAAACAGGAUUAGAUACCCUGGUAGUCCACACCGUAACGAUGACUGCUAGAUGUUCGAGGGUUUCCGC